rnacentral:misc_RNA from 1 species
GCAAACUUGGUCAUUUAGAGGAAGUAAAAGUCGUAACAAGGUCUCCGUUGGUGAACCAGCGGAGGGAUCAUUACUGAGUUAUUAAAACUCCCAACCCUAUGUGAACAUACCUAUCGUUGCUUCGGCGGAACGCCCCGGCGCCCCUCGCGGCCCGGAACCAGGCGCCCGCCGGAGGCCCCAAACUCUUGUUUGAACCGUAUUCUCCUCUGAGUGGAUUUUACAAAUAAAUCAAAACUUUCAACAACGGAUCUCUUGGCUCUGGCAUCGAUGAAGAACGCAGC